GGGGCUGUAGUUAAAAUAACAUUUAAUUUGCAAUUAAAAGAUGUCUAUAAUAAAUUAAGACCUACCUCA
rnacentral:tRNA from 1 species